ACUAUGAGAAGACAAAGAAAUGAAGUUGUUGUGGAGUUGAGAAAGAACAAAAGAGAUGAGCAUCUCCUAAAGAGAAGGAAUGUCCCCCAUGAAGAUAUCUGUGAAGAUUCUGAUAUAGAUGGGGACUUCAGAGUGCAAAACACUUCUUUGGAGGCAAUAGUACAGAAUGCUUCAAGUGACAACCAGGGUAUUCAGUUAAGUGCUGUGCAGGCAGCAAGGAAGCUGCUGUCCAGCGACCGCAAUCCACCCAUCGAUGACCUAAUAAAAUCAGGAAUAUUACCUAUCUUAGUGCACUGUCUUGAAAGAGAUGACAAUCCUUCCUUACAGUUUGAAGCUGCGUGGGCUUUGACAAACAUCGCCUCUGGAACCUCGGAACAAACCCAGGCCGUAGUUCAAUCCAAUGCUGUGCCGCUUUUCCUGAGACUGCUGCAUUCACCUCAUCAAAAUGUUUGUGAGCAAGCAGUGUGGGCUUUAGGAAAUAUCAUAGGUGAUGGACCCCAGUGUAGAGAUUAUGUCAUUAGUCUUGGAGUAGUGAAGCCACUGCUGUCCUUCAUCAGCCCCUCCAUCCCCAUCACCUUCCUCAGGAACGUCACCUGGGUCAUGGUCAACCUGUGCCGCCACAAAGACCCCCCUCCACCGAUGGAAACCAUCCAGGAGAUCCUGCCGGCGCUCUGUGUUUUAAUUCACCACACGGAUGUAAAUAUAUUGGUAGAUACAGUCUGGGCCCUCUCCUAUCUCACGGAUGCUGGCAACGAGCAGAUCCAGAUGGUGAUAGACUCUGGAAUUGUCCCUCACUUGGUUCCUCUCCUCAGCCACCAGGAAGUCAAAGUCCAGACGGCUGCACUGAGAGCCGUGGGGAACAUCGUCACUGGCACCGAUGAGCAGACACAGGUGGUUCUCAACUGUGAAGCUCUCUCACAUUUCCCAGCACUUCUGACACAUCCCAAAGAAAAAAUUAAUAAGUAUUUGGUUGAAGCUGGUAACAGUGAGAGGCUGAGGAGUCUUGUGGAGUCACCAAAGGAAGCAGUGUGGUUCCUAUCUAACAUCACUGCAGGAAACCAGCAGCAAGUUCAGGCAGUAAUAGAUGCAAACCUUGUUCCAAUGAUAAUCCAUCUUCUAGAUAAGGGGGAUUUUGGGACUCAGAAAGAAGCUGCUUGGGCAAUAAGCAACUUAACAAUCAGUGGGAGAAAAGACCAGGUGGCUUACUUAAUUCAACAAAAUGUAAUUCCUCCCUUUUGCAAUUUGCUGACAGUAAAAGAUGCACAAGUUGUGCAAGUGGUUCUGGAUGGACUAAGUAAUAUAUUAAAAAUGGCUGAAGAGGAAGCAGAAACCAUAGCCAAUCUUAUAGAAGAGUGUGGAGGCCUGGAGAAAAUUGAACAGCUACAAAACCAUGAAAAUGAAGACAUCUACAAACUGGCUUAUGAGAUCAUUGAUCAGUUCUUCUCUUCAGAUGAUAUUGAUGAAGAUCCAAGCCUUGUUCCGGAAGCGAUCCAAGGCGGAACAUUCGGUUUCAAUUCAUCUGCCAAUGUACCAGCAGAAGGGUUCCAGUUUUAGAGUGGUGUUUUGGAAGUUUAGGUACAAUGCAGCACCGAAUUAAAAAAAAAAAAAAAGGGUUUGAUCCAUCAAUCUUGGCUCAUGGGAUCCGCUGCUGCAUUAAAUCGGGGAAGUAAAUGUGAAGAUUUCAUUUGGAAUCACAGAAAAGCCCAAAUGAAGUCAAGAUGGCGAGUGGGUGCGAGUGAGAAUGAGUGGCAAAAUGUAACGACAAACUUCACACUGAAUGCUUCUUUAGAUUGUUCAAAGAAAAAAAAAUAAAGGGCUACAGGUCACAGAUCUUCAGUGCCUGAGAAGGAAACACCGACCUCCCGGAGCAGCGGGGGGAACGCAGAACUCUCAUCAUCAGCCUCGUCCGCAUCAGCGAGCAGGACGCCCACGGCACAGCAGCGAGAGGAGCCCAGGCCUUGCUCUGCAGCCCCGUCUCUGCGUGUCACCGAAUUCCUGGCAGGAAAGCUGCUCCUGAGGCUGGAAGCAAUUAGAGGAAUUCUGCAUCUGGAUCAAAUCUUGGUGAGAGGAAACUUAGUAGCUGCAAACGUGUCAAGUUUACAAACUCAGGGUAAGCUGAAGCUACUGCUCCAGUGGAACUCGGGGGACACAGGGGAAUCACUGGCAAAUCUUCAUUUCCAUCAAAUAAUUCCCAUUUUUCCUUAGUUAAUCCAUUAGUAAUCCUGUAUUUAUCCUGCUGGAUUGGUGUGCCCCAAAGCUGAGGAAGACUUUAAGUUGUCAUUAAAAUGUCAAUACUUUCAAUUUUAAAUUGAUAUAAAGCACUAAAAGCUGAUCUUACUAGAAAAGGAACAAUUUUGGGCAACUUUAAAUGUCAAUUAUUGUCCAGAAGUUUUGUAAUUUGAUGAGGGUCAGGAUUCCUAUCAGCAACACAGAUUGUGGGUUUAAUCACAGGUUUAAUUCCUGGAAUGGCAGUUUGCACUUGAAAUGCUGCUUCAUCUUGAAUUCUUAAUUUAAGUACAUAAAAUAGAUGAGAACCCACAUGUUUCUUACUGUCAGCUACAAUACUCUUAGAGCUGUGAAUUAAUGUCAAAAGCUCCCUGAUUUUCUGCUCCUGUCGUUUUCCUCCUGAGAUAUUCCUGAUGUGUUGGGAAAUUUGUGAUUUGGGCUUGAGGGUUUUUAUUAUUUGAAGUAAUUCUAGUUGUUUCCCAGGUAUUUGUAUAAUAUUCUCUACACAGUCGUUUUAAGAUGUGUUCAGGUAAGUUUUGGGUGAUGGUGCAUGAUGAUUUACAUCACAACAUUCAGUCAGUUUUGUUUCUCUUUCAAAUUCACUUUGUAACAGCUGAAAGUAACUUCAUUGAACUGUAAAUUAAUGGAGAAUAAUGUGGAAAAUGGGAAAAGCCUUCAUUGGGUGCAGCUCUGGGCCUGCCCACCCUCCCAGGGUGGAAUUCCUGCCCAAAAUCCCACCCAGUCCUGACCUCUGGCAGUGGGAGCCGUUCCCUGCGUCCUAAAAACCCUAAAGAACCUCUCGGCUGUCUUGGGCUGCCCAGGCAGAUGAACGAGCUUCAAAGAAAAGACGAAAUCAUUUCAAUUUCCUUGGUCUGCAGCUGGCACAAGGUGCGGUGGAGGAUCCGCGUCUCCCGUUUUCCACCUGCAGGGUGGAUUUUUCACGGGCUCUGGAGAGGAACGAGGCGCUGGAAGCAGAGCGGGGCUGAACGCGGCUCCUCCUCCGUGUCGGGACCAUCCCCGCUCCUCCAUCCCCUCCGUGUCGGGACCAUCCCCGCUCCUCCAUCCCCUCCGGGAUCGGGACCAUCCCCGCUCCUCCAUCAUCCUGUCCUGGAUCGGGACCAUCCCCGCUCCUCCAUUCCCUCCGGAUGGGAACCAUCCCCGCUCCUCCAUCCCCUCCGGGAUCGGGACCAUCCCCGCUCCUCCAUCAUCCUGUCCUGGAUCGGGACCAUCCCCGCUCCUCCAUCCCCGCUCCUCCAUCCCCUCCGAGCCCUGCAGCGAUUUCCUGCCGCGGGCACUGAGGGUCCCUUCCCGGUCCAGAUGUGGACGGAUCCCUUUUCCCAGCCACUCGUGCAGGGACGGCGGCACCGAUCCCCGGGGUCCGGGAGCUGCGGGGGACAGGUCAAGGUGUGCUCCUGCCUCCGGCUCCAGUGCCCGGGACCGUGCGGUGAAGAACAGGUGUGGAGGGAGGGCUCUCUGGCUCAGGAACUGUGCUGUGGGGCUGAGCAGAGAUGGAUUGUUUUUUGUGGUGUCCCUGCAGGCCAUGGAGAGGCUGGAGGAGGAGCUGAGCUGUGCUGUGACAUCUCGGUGGAGCCGCGGGACGUGCAGGGCUCAGCCCCGGCAGCCGCUGAACAUUUCCUGCUGCAGGACGUGUGGCUGGGGAGCCUCAGCAUGGGUGGACUCCAGAGCUCCUCCAGGAGAGCCAGGGAGGCUGAGGGACAGCUCCUGCAGGAGCUGAUGGAUCGCUGCAAGGUGUUGGUGUGCUCCCAGAGGCUGCAGCAGCAGACACACGGUGCCAGAGCGCCCUGCAGAGUGCCAGGGAAGCUGGGCUGUGCUGGUUUAAGGAACUUGGUGAUGCCUUGGAGCAGGAAAAAUCAGCUCUGCUGAGCGUGCUGGAUGAACUGGGCAGCUGCAUCUCAGAGAAAUACGAGAUUCCACCAUUUCCUCAUGGAGGAGGUGGAAGAAGUGAAGUUAGAAGAGUUAAAGGAGCUGCAUGCAGCUGUUCAGGAGGAGGAGUCCCUGCUGCUUUUCCUGGAGAAGCUGGACAGGCUGCAGCUGCAGCUCCACACUCUCAGAAUGAAGCAACUCCCAGAGCCUGAGCCUGUGGAGACCCAUCUGAGGAUGGAGAAUGUGCUGCAGGACAUGUGGGGUAAAACUGAACUCAGGCAGCUCCACGGGAUCCCCACCCCAAAGCCCCACCUGGCUCACAAAAACCAACGCUCCGGAAAGCAAACGGCACCAUCUGCACCCUGGGCUGCUCUUACUGAACAAAACUUUUCAUUCUUCUGCUGAUCCUGAUCUCACUUGUGUGGUUAUGGCACGAGGAAAUCUCACCUGGCACCAUCCUGGCUCCUCUGGAGUGUCUCUGGGAAUUCCUGCUGCAGAUUUAUCAGGAUUCCUGCCUCUGCCUGCAGGACAGAGCGAGAGCUGUACCUCACUUCAGCCCGAGCUCUGGAGUUGUGCAGGACAAUUCUUCCUGCUCCAAAGAGACUGAAAUCCUAGUGCAGCAAUCCAGCAUUAUCUUCAAUUUCUACUUAAAAGCUGUUAAAGCUCUACACUUGUUCUGUUUCUCUAUCCUUCCUUUCCUGUUUUGCAUGGAUUUCCCCUGAACUAAAGUUUUGAUCCAAUUAA